UACAGAGGUCUCAAGCGUUGUUCGGAUUCAUUGGGUUUAAAGGGUGCGUAGGUGGAUCUGUAAGUCAGUGGUGAAAUCUCCAAGCUUAACUUGGAACUGCCGUUGAUACUAUAGAUCUUGAAUGCUGUGGAGGUGAGCGGAAUAUGUCAUGUAGCGGUGAAAUGCUUAGAUAUGACAUAGAACACCAAUUGCGAAGGCAGCUCACUACCCAGAUAUUGACACUGAGGCACGAAAGCGUGGGGAUCAAACAGG
rnacentral:rRNA from 1 species